UCUGGUUGAUCCUGCCAGUAGUCAUAUGCUUGUCUCAAAGAUUAAGCCGUGCAUGUCUAAGUAUAAGCAAUUUAUACAGUGAAACUGCGAAUGGCUCAUUAAAUCAGUUAUCGUUUAUUUGAUAGUUCCUUUACUACAUGGUAUAACUGUGGUAAUUCUAGAGCUAAUACAUGCUUAAAAUCUCGACCCUUUGGAAGAGAUGUAUUUAUUAGAUAAAAAAUCAAUGUCUUCGGACUCUUUGAUGAUUCAUAAUAACUUUUCGAAUCGCAUGGCCUUGUGCUGGCGAUGGUUCAUUCAAAUUUCUGCCCUAUCAACUUUCGAUGGUAGGAUAGUGGCCUACCAUGGUUUCAACGGGUAACGGGGAAUAAGGGUUCGAUUCCGGAGAGGGAGCCUGAGAAACGGCUACCACAUCCAAGGAAGGCAGCAGGCGCGCAAAUUACCCAAUCCUAAUUCAGGGAGGUAGUGACAAUAAAUAACGAUACAGGGCCCAUUCGGGUCUUGUAAUUGGAAUGAGUACAAUGUAAAUACCUUAACGAGGAACAAUUGGAGGGCAAGUCUGGUA
rnacentral:rRNA from 1 species